GUUCGAGUCGGGUUCGGUUCAGGUCAAUAAUUUACGGGUCACAUUCGGGUCGGGUCCUCUCUUGGUCGGGUCAUGAUCGGGUUCGGGUCUCAAAUACUCGGGUCAACUCGGGUCUAGGGUUGGUUUCAGGUUGGGUUAGGUCGGGUUCGGGUCACCAUUUUUUUCGGAUUCAGACGAGUUAGGGUUAGGGUCAGGUUAGGGUCGGUAUUUCGGGUCGGGUCAGCCUUUGACAGCUCUAAUGGAAACCCCCUCUCUCUCUUCUCUUUCUCUAGCUUUCAGAUCUGAAAAAUUCAUACUCUAAAACUAAUUGUUCAUCACGAUCCUGUUCCUCUAUUCUUAUACAAUCAUAGUUAUCCUUUGAUGCCGCCUGAAAUUUAGCGAAUAUGGGUCGAAGUCGUGUUAAAUUUCUUCCGCUGCUUGUUAAUUGCUUCAAUUCAUGGUAUAUAUCCUAACAAUUAUAUAAAAUAACUCAAGCAACGUCUUGCUGCUGGAUGCUGACCACACUGAGACCUUGCUUCUGCUCCACAAUGUUGCUACUGAUGUUGUUUGUCUCCUAAGGCCAAACUAAACCACUACCUGGGAAGGAUCCAGAAACAGUAGAGGGAAAUGAGCAUAUUAAGGAGCAGCUACAUUGGAGAUUGAUUGAAGAUUGCAGCAAUUAUUGGUCACAAUCUAAACUUCUCUAUAUGCCCUCUUGCAUGUAGAUUAAGGAGUAUCAAAAUUGAAGGUUUAUUGAGGAUGAAGCAUUGAGUAGAUUUAUUCCACUACAACUAGUCACGAUUGUAUUAUAAGUUAGAAUUAUAUCUUUUAAAUAGAAAACUCAUUACUAUGAGAUAUUGUACAUAUACUAUACAAUAAUAUAUUUAUAUGCAAUAA